AAGGAAGAAGAUAUUAACAAAUGACAGUACAAAGGGCUGAUAUCCAAGACCUAUAAAGAACUCCGCAAACUCAACAAUCAAAAAACAGAUAACUACAUCAAAAAAAAUGGGCAGAAGCCAUGAACAGACACUUCUCCAAUGAAGACAUACAAAUGGCUAACAGACAUAUGAAAAAAUCACUAGCCAUCAUCACUAGCCGUCAGGGAGAUUCAAAUCAAAACC